rnacentral:rRNA from 1 species
AUUGAACGCUGGCGGCAGGCCUAACACAUGCAAGUCGAACGAGUGGCGGACGGGUGAGUAAUGUCUGGGAAACUGCCCGAUGGAGGGGGAUAACUCCUGGAAACGGUAGCUAAUACCGCAUACCAUCGGAUGUGCCCAGAUGGGAUUAGCUAGUAGGUGGGGUAACGGCUCACCGAGGCGACGUUCCCUAGCAGGACUGAGAGGAUGACCAGCCACACUGGAACGGGGACACGGUCCAGACUCCUACGGGAGGCAGCAGUGGGGAAUAUUGCACAAUGGGCGCAAGCCUGAUGCAGCCAUGCCGCGUGUAUGAAGAAGGCUUUCGGGUUGUAAAGUACUUUCAGCGAGGAGGCGGUACUCGCAGAAGAAGCACCGGCUAACUCCGUGCCAGCAGCCGCGGUAAUUC